UGGAUGAUACCCUUACCGGAUCAUACUAAUGCUACUACCAAAAAUAUGUUUUUGCCUUGAUUAAAGCCAUUUAACAGGGACGAAAAG
rnacentral:ncRNA from 1 species